rnacentral:rRNA from 1 species
AAUAUUGCACAAGUGGGGGAAACCCUGAUGCAGCCAUGCCGCGUGUGUGAAGAAGGCCUUCGGGUUGUAAAGCACUUUCAGUAGGGAGGAAGGUAGUGUAGUUAACACCUGCACUAUUUGACGUUACCUACAGAAGAAGCACCGGCUAACUCCGUGCCAGCAGCCGCGGUAAUACGGAGGGUGCGAGCGUUAAUCGGAAUUACUGGGCGUAAAGCGCAUGCAGGCGGCCUGUUAAGUCAGAUGUGAAAGCCCCGGGGCUUAACCUCGGAAUUGCAUUUGAAACUGGCAGGCUAGAGUCUUGUAGAGGGGGUAGAAUUUCAGGUGUAGCGGUGAAAUGCGUAGAGAUCUGAAGGAAUACCAGUGGCGAAGGCGGCCCCCUGGACAAAGACUGACGCUCAGAUGCGAAAGCGUGGGGAGCAAACAGGAUUAGAUACCCUGGGAG